UGUUUUAAAAGAUGUUGCAAAGGGAAAGC
rnacentral:piRNA from 1 species